rnacentral:rRNA from 1 species
UACGUAGGUGGCAAGCGUUGUCCGGAUUUACUGGGCGUAAAGCGAACGCAGGCGGGCCUUUAAGUAGGACGUGAAAGGUUGGAGCUCAACUCUAACACUGCUCCCUAUACUGGAGGCCUUGAGUUUCGGAGAGGAAGACGGAACUGCAGGUGUAGCGGUGAAAUGCGUUGAUAUCUGCAGGAACACCAAUGGCGAAAGCAGUCUUCUGGACGAAUACUGACGCUCAGGUUCGAAAGCCAAGGUAGCAAACAGG